UGUCGAGGGUUCGAAUCCCUCCUCGCCCACAACCGGCCCAAAAGGGAAGUACCUUUCCCUCUGGGGGUAGGAAAAUCAUGAUCGGGAUAGCAAACCAAAAGCUAUGGAACUUGGGUGUGGGUCUUAUGUCGAAAUGGAAUGACUUUUCUUUUUCUCUUUUUAUUUAUUAUUUAUCGUGAAUGGGGGAAUCAUUACACAUAGUAUGCCCCAUUAACGUAUUUUUUUUUUGUUUUAUGCUCCGUAACUCUUCCUCAGUCAGGCUUGGGUAGAAUAGCAGAGCAAGUAUUGGUAGCAUAACAAAAAAGCCUUCCUCGUCAUUAAUAUCUUUGCUCGCGGCAAUUGUGACCUCUCAGGAGAAUCGGUGACUGCAUCUUUGAUGCAGUGCUAGUACAUCUGAGACUUCUUAAUUGGCUAGUUAUAAAUAGCCCCAGAGUUAUGGAACAAAGGAUUAUCUCGUACCUAGACAGAGGUAUUGAUGGUGAUUUUCUAAUCUCGCAGAACAGAAUGUGAUACGAUGAGAUAGAAUGCAAUAGAAACAAAGAUAAGGAACGAGUUACCUACUCUUAACGGGCAAAGCGAGCCCCUUUAUUUUGAAUUCUUUAAUUCAGAAUCAAUCAAAUCUCCCCAAGUAGGAUUCGAACCUACGACCAAUCGGUUAACAACCGACCGCUCUACCACUGAGCUACUGAGGAUUAGGAGAUUCGAUCUCAUAGAGUUCAAUUCCCGUUCCCAACCCAUGAGCAAUAUGAGUUCGAAGCUUCCUUCGUAACUUCCAGAACUUCUUCGUAGUGGCUCCCUUACAUGUCUCAUUUUAGAGGGAACCUCAAAGUGGCUCUAUUUCAUUAGACUUCUCACCUUCUUCAAACAAUAUAUAUUUAACAAAUUUAUAUAAGUAAUUAUCGGUCGAUUAUUCAAUAUUCUUGUGCAGAUGAAGAAGACUCAUGUGGAGCGUGUGAUUGAGACUUAGUACCGAUUAGGAUGGGAUUUUAAAGACAAUUUUUUUUUCGAAUUUUGUUUUUCAACUAUAUUGUUUCUGUUUAUGUUGUAAAGAUUUUAAUUACAUGUUUGUACAUAUCAUAUGUUCAAGUUAAUACUUCUGUGCCAGAACCAUAUUCAUUAGGAAACAAAUAGAGAUUUCUUUGCCAAAUUAGCUAUUGUACGUUUUGAUUUAAUUUUUCAUAAAUAUGUACCACGGUUUUCAAGUAUAUGGAAUUAUAGAGUCUACUAGUAUUAGACAUAGUUACAAAACUACAAAGACAUGCUUCAAAAUCCAAAACUUGUAGGAAAAAAUGUUUAGAGUUUGAAGUUAUACUAAUAGAAUUUUCUAAUAUAAAUCCCACUUGUACAAACACACUGCAGAGCUGAAUGAUUGAUACAUAUUUCUAAUUCCGAUUUCAAGUCGUUCUCUUGGAAUAAAUAAAUUAUUCCGUCAAAUAAUAAAUGAGUAAAUAAUUUGAGUUGGGGCUAUGGGGACUUCUGUGGAACAAAACAAAAUUGGUUAUUGAGUUUGCUAAAUAGAAUCAAUAUUCAUCAUUUCAAAACACUUAAAUUACUUUUUAAACUUUUAUUUUAUAACUCAAUAUAUAAUUUUUAGUAAUAUUUAUGAUUUUUAAAAAUCUAUUACUCAUCGACAUAGGGUACACGCGCAAUGCACAUAAUCUAUAUUUAUACUAUAUUAAAAGCACGAAAGCCUUUAACGAAAUGUCGUUCGUCUUUUUUCCCUUUAAAAAUAGCUGUAAGAUUGGACAGAGUUGUAAGCUUAUAAUUUAAUUAAUUUACUACUAAAAUUUUGGACUAAUUUGAAAUCAACUAAAAUUUAGGUUAUUAAAUAUUUUUAUUAUUUGAACUAUGUACAAACUCCUAAUAUUUAGGAUAAUAGGUUAAAUUAACUAUAAUAUAUACCGUUCCUUUUAAUUUGUAUACACCUUAACGUUAAAUACUUCUUUAAUUUCGGUACAAAAUAUCAAUUUAUACUUGAAACUGAAUAACGAUUUCGUUAUGAGAUUACAUCUCUAUGAUGACUCCAGUGUAAUAUUACCUGCGGUUGAAAUCUAUUAAUCAUAUUCACCAACCUUUGUUCAAAAAUGAGUUCAAAACUAAUAAUUUUAAAGAUAUAACUUUAAAUAAAAAUUAUUUGCAAACUUCUAAGUAAUAUUAAAGCUAUUUCGAUUUUAUACGUGAAUAUAAAAAUAAUAAAAUAAACGUAAGGUUAAAAUUAGAAGAAGCCACUUAUAACUAUGUUUUAUGUAAGCAGAAAAUUAAAACAAGAAAAGAAAAAAAAUAAAAAAAAAUUCUUUUAGGAAAAUAAGCAAGCAAAGUAUCUAUGUAAAAUUUUCCUCAAAAUUGUUUUUUCACAAUAUAGACAAUUAAAUAUACUGUUUUGAAUAAAAUUGGAGUUACUUUUAAAAAGUUUCAAUUUAAAUGAGAAGUGAAUAUAGAUAUUUUUUUUAUAAUAUAGAAAAUUUAAUAUUUUUUGGAAUUAAAUCAAUGUUACAUUUAAAACGUUUCAAUUCAAAAUUAAAUGUGAACCGAUUAUGGGCACACAAAAAUUAAAACACUACAUUUGUGAUAAUUGAUAAAAAGUAAAUUCUACCGGAAAAAAAUAAAAAUAAAAAGUAAAUUCUAAAUCUGAUAUUCACAUGCAUGAAUCUAUAUUUUCACUCAUAUUCUAUGAUUGAAUUCUAAAUCUGUUUUUAUCAUGCAUAAACUCUUCUAUAAAAAGACAACAUUUGGAUGCAUAAUUAUGUCCUUGGAUAGAGAAUGAAAGUCCUCUAAAAAAUAAAAAGCUUAAAUUAAUCGAAAUUUAGUCAUUUUUACUUUUGCAAUAAAAAUUUAUUCUUUUUAAUUUAUUGGAAACAAUUCCCAUAGUAUUUGUCAUUGAUCAAUAAAUAGAGUAAUUUGUAUUUUGCUUGAGACCAAAAAAUAGACACCGUUUUUCAUUUUUUCAGAUCUUGUUUGUAUUUUUUUGCAAUUAAACUUAAAACAUUAGUUUACCAAAAAAAAAAAAAAUUCUUGUUGAAACUAAAAAAGAUGUAUGGUAAUUUGUAAACUUGAAGUAAUCGGAUUAUAAAACUGGAAUAAAUUUUAAGUCGAACAUAGUGAUUGAGAUGAUUGAAAACUUCUGCGAACCGAGUUUCUUCCUUGGCUUAGUUAAAUAAGAACAACAAUCAUCAUUUUCAGGAACUUAUAAUUUUUUCAACUUUUAUUUUAUUAAAACUCGAAUACAAUAUUUGAUAUUAUAUUUAUGCAUUUGCUUAACAAAAUUUAUAUUUAUUGAGACUGGUAUUGUUAAAUUUCCAUAGUGCCUUCAAAAAAAUAAAAACAGGGUGUCAGUUAGCUCUAUAUUUGAGUUCCCUAUCUUCAGUGAGAGCUGUACAACGUAUUUGGACUUUCAUCAAAUAGGAGGAUACAUGUUCUAGCCGUAGAGGGUUUGAUCAAGUUCAUCGAGCUACAAAGUACAAACUUUGAUUCUCUGCUCUAUGGCAUUUGAAUUAAAUUGGAGAUCUGGAUUCAAUAAUAUGAACUUUGUUCAACAUUUCUUCUUGAAAAGUCAAAUAGCAGGAGUAGGCACUUAAAAAAACACAGUGCUGCUCUUUUUUCCUUUUUUCUUUUGAGUGGGAGGGGGGAAGGGAGGAGAGGAUAGGGGAAUGGGGAGGAUUUCAGCUGGAGGGAGAAGAAAAACCUCGUGACGACAGAACAAAAUCGCUUUUCUAUGUCAUAAGACUCACAACAGGCAUUUGCUUGGCUCUGGAAUGGAGAUUCCUUUAGUCUGCAUUUGUUUGUACAUCCAUUGCCAGUUUUCAGGUGUUACCUCACCCCCAAGAGAUCGAAUCACAGACCCACCGCAGCAAGAACCAACCCGGCAACAUUCCUCCAGUGGUAGCGCUCGUACCAAUCCAUACAAAAACCCACUUGCAAAGAGAUCUCCUGCACCUGUAGCAUCUGUUACUUUUGUCUCGCCAAUUGCUGGAACACGGACUAACUGUAAACCAAAAUAAAACCUCAUCUUUAUUAACCAAACAAACACCAAGUUACUAGUACAGCGACAAUAUGCUGUUAAGUUUGCUAGCAAACCUACUCUAAGAAUGACAAAAAAUCACUAAGUUGGAGCAUUUGAAAAAAAAAAGGAUUUCACCAUCUUCCGGUGACAUGCACAUACAGAAAAAAAAGGUCCUUUUCUAAGCAUUUUGCUUUAAAGAUGAGCUGCUAGUGAGAAGGAUAAGAGAUACCUCUUUCCCAUGUUUUGCCAUGCACCCAUUUUGGGCUAAGGUUACAACAGCCCACUUGCAAUGUUUAGCUAGAAAUUCAAGUGCUGCCUCAGGAUCUGCAUUGUCUUCACCUCUGCACCAAAUGUUGAAAAGACAUGGAGCUUCAUUUGCAUGAACGUUAUAUUUCAAUAAUAUAAUAUCUCAGUUUCAAUCCAAGGACAGGUAAUCACCUUAGCAGCUCAGUUGCUUCAUCCUCAUUUGCAAAGCAAAGGUCUAUGUUUCCUGACUCCAGUAAUUCAAUUAGAGGUAAUUUAAACUUCCUCACCAUCUGCCAUAUAUUAUGAAUAUCAGGGAGGCACCAAAAUCAAAAAUAAAAAAGAUCACAAAUCCUUUUACUGAUAACAGAAUAGGAGUUUUCAACAGAAACGAAGUAAUAUGAGUUCCAUUCAAACAUGAGUUAUUUUUAAGCGUCUCCAAUUGUUAUCUCAUGAAAUUUGUUUUCUACAGACAGCUCAAAUGUAGAGUACGAAAUAAAAUCUCCGUAUCAUUUGAGAAGACAGAUAAUCUUUCCCCUUCAAAAACUCAAAGCAAAUAAUGAAAUGCCAAGCUUUUGAUAACACCAAGUAGCCUAUGUGAACAAAAUUACCUCAAAGCUGGCUAGAUCUAGCGAAACAAAAAGGCCUUCUUCCUUUGCGAUUUUGAUGGCUGCCUUAAUAACUUCUAUAUUCAGUAUGGCAUAUCUCAGCACCAACCACUGUUACAAAAUAAAGGCAAAUAAGUAAGAAAUACUGACUGCUACCAAUUUCCCAGAGUUGUCCUCCAGCAAGUAAUAACAGGAAAAACAAGUUUGUGGCAGAUACUAAACAGAUUUCAUAAAUGGAUACGAGAACUCAAAUUACUGGGUACAAAUACAAUAUCGUAAUAACUAAUUUAUAUAAAAUGAUGGAGACAAGAAGUUCAAGAAGCGAACAAGAGUUUAAAAUGUCAAAUAAGGGAAUCCUCACCUUGGAACCUUUGAAGUCUUCUCUUUUCAGUUCAUCUGCCUGAUAAGCAAGGAAAUAAAAAGAUAUGCUUAAGAUCACUUUGCCUAAUAUUUUACAUGUCAUUAGAAUCAUUAGUCACCACUAAAUUUGACGAGAUAAAAGUGGGAGGCACCUGAACUUUCACAGAGCUAGACAGACAGGGACGCAUUGUACGAUUGCCAAUUUCAUCAACAAGACAAACACACUGUACAUCAGAAAUACACAGUUUUGAAUACCCGGGAAUUAUCUAUGUACAGAAUCCUAAUAUCCAACAAAUGUGUUCACCUGCGCUGUUGUUCCAUUCUUUAAUCUCAAUCUUGAGAUAUCCACUUUGUAAAAGCCCAUGUUGCUCAUGAAUAAUUUACCUUCUUCAUCAUCACCACAAGCCCCAAUGAUCCCACAACUAAUCCCAAAGCCAGCAGCCAACCCUCUAAUUGUAUUUGCAACACUGCCCCCAGCUAUGGUCUUCAAUGGAGAUUCAUCGUCAGUAGAAGGAAGGAUAUGGGCAUUAAGCUCGUUGAGUAUAUGCUUCAACUCCUCAACUGCAACCUUCAGUUAACAAAGGGAAAAAAAUGAAAAAAGAAGCAAAACUCUUAGAACUAGUUAAUCAGACUCCUCUUUAAAACAAUUAGGGACAUUCCUAGCAAACAUAAUAUUUCACGGCCUGUAGUUUCAGACACAUUUUAGGUAACUAUUAUGCCUCACUUAGUUAGUUGUUAUUAAGGGUAAGAUAAGCCAACCAACUACUCCUCAACUGUCUGCUAUAAGAAUCUUCUGUAUCAAAUAAGUUCACAUUCAAACAAAUUCAGUAUUCAGAGAUCAUGGUUUAGAUUAUUUUUAUACUGACGUUAACUACCAGCCUCAUCCUUUAUCCAAACUUGGAACUGUUUGCAAAUAAGAAGAGUUAACAGUAAACUAUGCAACAACAUAAUUUUUUAACAAAUGAAACCCACAUGGAUUAGAGAAAAGGGAGAGUUUUCAACCAAAUGGAAAAUUCAUUUUUUCAACUCUCUGUCAGUCCAAUCCUGAAUGCCAUAUAACCCUGUUUUCAGUCUCAGAUUGACUGUAGAAGUAAAAUCCGGAAAGGUUACUUAAUCAGCAACAACUUAUAAUGUUGAAUUCUAGAAUCACAUAUGAAAGAUAUAAACUUUAUGAUAUAUGAACAACCGAGAUCAUAUCACUUAGAAGAGUUCGGAUUCUGCGAUACAUCAAAACCUCAUCGGAAAAAGGUUAGACUCUUGUUUGUCUCAUACUGUUUUUACCUGUCUUGUUACUCACUGAUUUUGUUAUAGCAAUAUAUCACUCUAAAUUUGAUUUCGAAUAUCGUCCCCAUGCAAAUCCCAAUUGAAUUCUAAAAAACUAGAUAGCUUCAAUCAACAACAAUCAAAUACAGCUGCCAGAUUCCCUGUCCCACCCCCAUCUAAAAAAGGACAAUCAAACACACACAUACACACAGUGCUAGCUGAAAAUUUUAAGAUUUCUUAGUUAGAGUGACGGUGGAUUUAAAGAUCCAAUUUUGCAGAAAUUGGCAAUAAACAAUCUCUUAUUAUGAAGUCAUAGAAUACCCAAAAGUAGAAAUCACAAGCAAUUAAGAAUGAUUUGGGAAUCAAAAACAGGAAAAAUUGAGAAUAAUUAAAAAAAAAAAACGAGAAGACAGAGAGAAAGGAGAAGUACAGGGAAGGAACCACCACGUUCGCCGGGAAUUUGGGAGAGAAGAGACCAAUCAACCUUAGCUAUAUGGUCAACUAGCGCAAAAGGUUGGAGUCCAACUACAACCGGUGCACUACCAAUUUCACUAUCACUGUUGGCGGGACGAAUUUCAAUUCCCAUAAUUCCCUUUUCUAAAUUUGAGGAAAUUAAGUUUGAUUUCCCCCAAAUGGGAUAUGUUCCUUCCCAACCUUCCCCUGUGUUAGCUUUUUCUCUCUCUAUCCAAUUUAUAGCCGCUCUCUGCUUACUGCAUACUGUCCACUGCUGAGUCCACUUGUUUUUUAUUUUCUUUCCCUUAAUUAUUUCCGUAAAUAAAAAUAAGUUUUUGUCCCAAAAUUAUGGUGAAAAUACCACGGGCUAGCCAAUUUUUGGACGGUUAAUUGAAAAAUAGCCGACGUUUGCAAAGUCAUUAAAAAAUAGUCACUAUUUUACUGCAACACAGAGAGUUCCAGCAUAAUAUACUGGAGAUUGGAGCACAUGUGAAUGAACUUCCAGCAUAAUAUAAUGAGAUUGAAGCACCUCUGUUUGAAUUUCCAACAUAUUAUGCUGGAACUCCAGUAUAUUAUGCUGGAACUUUAAUAUAUUAUGCUGGAAGUUCACAUGUAAAAAUUAGAACUCUAGUAUAUUAUGAUGGAAUAUUUUAAAGGUGACUCAAUUUUUCUUUGAGGAAUUUUCAUAAAACACUAUAAUUUAGAUCCUAGUAACUAUUGUUUGCCUAAUUACUAUUCGUAGCUUUCGCUCAGCUGUUAUCAACGUGUAUCAUUUGUAUUCAAAUGCGCAGCGAAUACAACUUGUGUGGUUAUAAAGAUGAAAAAUAGGCAUCCUUUUUCACGUUUGGGCACCGUGAAGUUGCAAGGUUGAACCAGUGAACCAGCAAAUAUACGAUGAAAGCUUGAAAAUGUCAUUUACCCAGCAAAAAAACGAAGAAUUUCGCUUGGACAACGUUAGAAGACAAAUUGGCUAGGGAGAAUCAUUUACGUACCUGUUGGGUUUUUUAAGCUUAAAUGUAGCUUAAAAGAGGGUGAAUGGGAAAUGGAGGAAAAUUGAAAAUAUUUGAGUUUCCCUCCUUGACAAAGGGAUAUUGUCCCAUAUUGGAAGAGGAAGAGAUUUUGAUGGGUAUAUAUACAAUUGUACUUCUUCUGGCUCUUAAAGAGUUAAGAAGAAGGCAAGCCUAGCGCCGUCGUCGUCGCUUGCUCGGCUACGGCUACGGCUACGGCUACGGAUUCGGUCAAAUGAUUGAUUGAUUAAUAUUUUGGACCAAAUUUAUUUGUUAAUAGUAAAUAUUAGAAGAAUUGUUAUUAAAUAUCCGGUUUGCACCUCUUCAGAAGAACAAUUUAUACCUCUUUAAAUCUGAAGAGUUGAAGAACAGUUUGCACCUCUUCAGAUUUGAAGAAACAGUUGGCACUUCUUCGGAUUUGAAGAGUUGCACCUCUUCAGAUUGAGCUCAACAUUGGCUAUAAAUACCAGUCUAUUCUCUCAGAUUUUUCAUACGAAUUUCUGACUUCUCCUCCUUUCUUCUGCAUUAUUUUAACUACAAACAAAGUAUCAGUAAGUGUGAUUUGCUACCGAUUUUCUGUUCGCUGAAACAUUGGUGUUUGAAGUAUCGCUACACCAGUGUGUAAUUCGUUCUAUCCUGGGAGGAAAUAAUCCACAACCUUGGGUAUUGGGAGGGGAUUAAUUUCCUUAAGGAAACACUGUGAAUUCAGUGGGCUCGGAUUAAAUUUUGUUUCUUUUACAUUUAUGUUAUUUUAUCUUCUCCAUAAUUAUUUUACAAAUACAGCUAAACAACAAGCUUAAGGAAUUUACUCUUUUCUGUAUUUGUGUUAUAUUCAUUAUUUCUGGAGACUAAAACCUGUGUGAUUUUCUACUCCAGUGGAGAUUAAAAUCUAUGUGAUUUUAACGUUUGUUUGUGUCAUUCUUUUACAGAAAUGACGAACGACAACGGGAACCAGACUGUUCCUAUGGUAACUGCCAACGCAUCGACAAGCCGAACAACACCGGUACUAGCACCGGCAGAAAAAUCCGAAAAUUUUUCCGGGAUUGACUUCAAGCGCUGGCAGCAAAAGAUGUUCUUCUACUUGACGACUUUAAGUUUGCAGAAGUUCAUUACAGAAGAUGUUCCUGUUCUGCCCGACGAAACUCCAGAAAAUGAAUGCUUUCUCGUGACUGAGUCGUGGAAGCAUUCUGAUUUUCUAUACAAGAAUUACAUUCUUAGUGAACUAGAGGACAAUUUUUAUAACGUCUAUAGAGAUUGAUAUUCCUUCUAUACGAAAUUCUUGGAUCAGUAUAGUUGACUUUUGCUAUGUGAAAUUAUACUGUGUGUGUUGUUGUUGUUGUUGUUUAUAGUAACUAAAGUUGGAUCUUGAAAGCUAAUUAGCUAGUAUGAUUUAGAUUACAAACUUGACUCCCACCUGAGAAUUAAAACCAAUAGUGUCCCACAUCAAGGAACUCAUAAAGUAUUUACAAAAAGUAAAAACUUAUUAAUUUGUGAUACAUGGACAAAAUUGUGAGACUCAAAAAGAAAAAUAAAGAAAAAAGUAAAAUCCAAUAAGUGAUAUCAAAAUUAUACUGCAAACAUGAGUUCAAGUUGCAUAAAGAGAUGGAGAUAGAAAGAAAUGAUUCUCAUAUUGAAUAAUUAGGAGUUAACAUCUUUCUAAAUUUCAUUACACAAGUAAUUAGUAUUGUCGUGAUAUUUUGGCCAGUAAUCAUUCUAAAAAAUACUAUUAAUUCAACAGCAAAACCACUCAUACAUUAAUCAUUAUGAAUUUAAAAGAUUACACAGCUCAUUGAUUAGAAACUAAAUAUUAUCAGUCCACAAGAUUUAACAGACUAUAAUUUCUAAAAAGCUCACACUUGUUAUCUUUUUUGUCAAUAUUGCUUUUGGAUUGUGUUUCCUCCCCUCUUUUUGUGAAAUAUCAUAAUUUGGAUGCCAUGUUUAAGUCGUCAACAUUAUAGCCUAUAUUUUAUAUAAGAUAUUAAAUAAUUAAAUCCACAUAUGAGUAUAAUAAAUUUUCUAUGGUUAUCAAAGUGGGUGUGGAGAGAGAAUCAGAGAGUUUAUUUUUUUUCUAAAGUGAAGUAAUGAUGAUAUACUUGUAGUUGUUUGCUUGUAAGAAUGAUACGAAUCACAGUAAAAGUGAUAUAUUUACUCAUUCCCAUCCAGUAUUGGACAGAUUAAAAAAUGUACGUGAAGAUGUACAUAAUUCAACUUUUACUUAAUCCACUCUUAAUUACUUACUUACGUACUAAACAAGGAGAAACGGAAACUUUUUAUCUUUCCAGUAUUUUUUUUUCUUUUCAAAUGACAAUAAUAACAGACAAAUCACGAAUUUUGUACCUCCUAAAUUGUUAUCCACAAAAUUAUCUGGACAAGGAAAAUAUUGUUUGUUCAUGAAUUAUGAUUAGUUUUUGAAAAUUUCAAAAAAGAUUUCAAGUUUCGAAAAAUUGGUUUAGGGCAGUUUUUGAGUGAAAUUUUUUCUUCCACUCAUAAAAUUUUAAAUUUUUUUUUAUAAAUAAAAUACAUAUCUAAACACAACUUCGAAAAUGCUUUUUAAGUUUAGAACAAAUCUGUGUCCAAAUGUAGAUAUUUGGAGGGUUGGUGUUAACUUUUUCUUUCUAGAAAAAGAGCAGAGGUUUGAACUUUGAAGAUACUUUGCUGUUGCUGCUUUGUCUCUUCCCUUAAAUUUCACAUAGCAAUUUUGUUGAAAUAUUGGUGGAUUUUGAUCCUUGUUCAUGACUUUAACUGAAACGUAUCUAAACUCGUGCACUUCCAUCAGAUUUUGUCUACCUUUCAAUAAUGCCUCUAUAUUUGUACAGUCCUUUUUUUUCCCCAUCAAUUCAAAAACUCCCAUUUGAUUGAUAUUUUUGUCCAAAUGGAUAAAUCUGACUUUACACUCACUUUUGAUACUGAGGUUGUCGUCUCUCUCUCUGGCUUUUUCCUGUCUAAUUAUGAAUUGAUUGAAUAUGUCUAAACUCGACCAAGAGGUUUAUUUCCGUUGAUAGAAGAAUAUAAAUAAAGUAACACUUGGUUGAGUUGCGUGUGACAUAUCCUCUCGUCUUUUGCUUUCUGCGCCUAUAUUAGCAGGAGUGGAGGUAUUACGGCCAAGGGGUUAACUUAACACUCUUUGUCAAAAAUUAUAUUAUGUAUAGAGUAAAGUAAUACUUAUUAUUAAUUAAAAAAAUAUAGUCCACUAGUAAAGAUAUUCAAAAUUUAAACACUCUUAUUAAAUUUUCUGGCGAAAGUUUAUCGUAAAAAAAAAGUACAAAAAAGCUCAUCCUGCACAUGAUACAAUGUAAAAGUUCACCAUAUGAAGACUAGCUAACUUUCACGAUCCACGUAAAUACAACGUCAACAGGAGUGAAGAUAACCAGAAAUCUAGAAGUUUGGAAGAUUAUAGAUGGCCUAGGCAUGUAAAUAAAAGAGAAAAGUAUACUAUAUACCCGAUCCAAAAAAUAAUAGUCGUGAAAUAUUUUUUUUUGUAUAUUAAUGUAUAAUAUAUAUAUAUAUAUUUUAUAAAUAAUUAAUGUAUAUCUUUUUAUAUAUUUAGCUAGCAUAUAUAAUUAUUUUUAGCAGACCGAUCAAAUAUGCGACUUGCCUCAUAUUAAUUGAAGUACUUAAGCAUUUUCUUUUUCAUUUUUUGAAACUCUAGGCAUAUCUAUUAAGCAUCCACUGACCACUAUCAAUGGUUUAGACAAUUAAUUAGUUUUGCAAUAGCUAUAGAAGCCUAGGAACUAGGGUUUUGGCUAGAGAAAACAUUUCUCGAUUCAGUGGACCACCUCUGUAAAAGAAAAAAAGCAAUUCAAAAGGAAUCUUCUAUGGACCCCUUAAAUCUCUAAAACUGAAAAAUUCUGAAUUUGAUCCUUGUGAUAUCUAAUUAACAUAUUAGACUUUAAAUAAUUAAUUAACUUUAAAUAAUUAAUUAAAAUAUACACUUUAAUCCUUCUACUUGUGAAUCUUCACAAAUUUAACGAAUUUGAACUAUUUUUCCAUAUUCUAGAGUAGUGUACUUCUAAAAAUGAUCUAAAUAUAAUAUAUUUCCUAUGUAAAAAAGACAAAACUAUACAGUUUGAUCAAGUAAAGGUUAAUAUAUAUGUGUAGUAUAAUAAUACAAGGACCAAAAUAUAAAAGUUAUCGCUAAUUGAGGGAUCAAAGAUGUAAUUAUUCCUAUAUAUUCCAAAGGCCCCAAUACCAAUAAAUAAAGUGGAACUCAAGUAUCCGCCGAAGGGUAAAGAGAGAAACACGAACGAGAUGACUCCAUUUAAAAUCAAACACAAUUCAACAGAUUCCAAUCACUUCAUAUAGAAAUGAAAUGAUUGAAGACCAGAGCUCCUUUUGUACUUAUUAAAACACAGAAAGACAAGCUUAAUUUACGGGGAUUGGCUCAUCUUUUGGCUCUUCAGACCGCAAUCAGCCAAUCAUCCUUAACUUUCUAAUAUUCUACUAUGCAUUAUUGUACAAAAAGAUACAGCAUGCUUCUUUCAUCUUGGGAUUUCUACAGCUAAUAACAUGCCUAAGGAUUAGGUUAAGGAUUUUCCCACAUGGACCGUGCUACUUAGUCGUCAAUAGUAUAUUAGCAUAGCCAUUAGGAGGAAUCUCAAACAGUAGAAGAGUUUACUGGAUUUAGGAAGUGUGGUACAUCAACGUCUUAUCCAGCCCAGGUAGAAAGAUUGUUAAGCACAGCAGUUAAGAACGAGAAAUUUGAUAUUGCAAGUGAUAUUUUCACCAUUCAAAACAGGGAAAACGUUUACUGGAUGAAGAAAAUUUGCUGACUAAGAACUUUGACAUCCCAAAUGAUAUUCUUCACCAUAAGUCCAUGAUCAAGCACGACUAUAAGUGAUUUGAAUUUUAGGACUAUUAAGCUGAAUUUAGGAGAAUUCCACAACAAGGGCAUUGCCAACAGAACUACUUUCGGGACGCGCUGUCAAUGUUUCAUGUUAUUCCAAGUACAAUUUAGCAAAUUCAUCUAUGAAAAUGAUUUCCAAGUUACAAGCACCAAAUGCAUAUGGCUUUUGGGUGUAAGUUCCUUUCCCAAGCUGAACAAGUGCCUGGGAAACUAGGGGCAAAAGUCUUAACUACAAGCACUGACAUAUCGAUGUUAUCCAAUAAGUUUGGUAUUAUUUGGAAGCGCAACAACCAAUAUCCAUGACUAUCCCCUACAGAUGCUCACGGGGUAAAAUCAAUCUCAGAAAAGCAAAAAAGAGAGUUGCUUGGGUACAGAUCUCAUUGGAUGAUGCUCUUUGCAGCUUUUUCAGGGAGAAUAUUAUCAGGAAGUACAAGCUCGGGAGGUGUUUCACGUACAACACCAAUCAUAGAAUCAUAUUCCUCAUCACGUUUGGCAUACUUCUUACGAAGCAUCUUUUCAAAUUCAAUUUCGUCAAAGGACUUGGAAUUCUCAGCUGCAUGAACACGAGCGAGGUUACAGUAAUUGGUUGCUGACUGGGCAAUAAAGGCUAUCUCUUCAUCAGUUAGCUUCCUCAGAAACUUAGCUGGAUUGCCUGCCCAUACCUGUGUCAUAUAGAAAUUCACAGUUAGAUGGUGAGAGCAGAUGGUAGUCUCCUAAAUCAUAUACACUAUUUGCAGAAGAAGCCAAUCAUAAUGUGGCUUUACACUGAAUGUUGAAUCCAACACAUCACCAUAACUAUUCAGAAUGGAAUAAGGAGAACAAAUGGUAGACUUAUGAAUCAUUGGACAGUCCUAAACCCCCCUUGCACACCAAUCAUAAUACAAAGUUAAGACAUUCGGAUAAAUCCAAUUUAUAGGAAAAUGUGGACCAGUAAAGUAAGCCAAAUAAGUUGGGCAAUUGGCAUGCUAUCAAAGUUCCUAUCUCAUAUUCAAAUUACUUACGACAUUGCAAACAUAUAAGCAACACUGUUGUAUCUGACCUAAUCAGAAUAGCAUAGCAGGCAAAAUCUCAGAAUGGCAUAGAAAGCAGAUUGUGCAAUAAUGCAGGCAAUCAAACAAUUCUUAAGUGUAAUCCACAAAAAGCCGCUUUCCUCAGGGACCAAAUAGGAAGAAAAGCAAACAAUUCAAGCCACUGACUUUUGCUGUGCAGCAGUAAUAAACUAGGAAAUUUGAAGUCCAAGGGCAAGGUCCUAUAUGAUAAUAUCGUAUUGCCAAUUGCAGUAUCUAAUUAAAGACAAGAUCUAAUCAUGUUUUCCAUAUUUUUGCUUCUCUCAUCUAUCUGACAUUGGUGGACAGAGAGCGAAUCCCACAAAAGAAAGAGAAACUCUGUAGUCCAUAUAAGUGAUUUAAAAGGUGAGGUGUUAUUGCUAGCAAGUAGCAGCAGAUGUAGGUGUAUGCCUCAAGGAGUGAGUAGAACACCUUAGUGGAAAUUCAACCACCCAGGGCAUUUUAGCAAUGCCUCUACCAUCUCUUUUAAACAGUGAACUUACUGUAAGGUGAUCACUGGUGAUGAGGGGACAAGCGGAUACCAUACCUCUCCAGAGGGGAUCCUUGUGUUCUGUCUCACAAGGGCUCCUGCAGCAACCAUGGCAUGUUUCUCUACAUGGACACCAUCAAGCAGUGUGGCUCCCAUUCCAAUGAAGGCCUCAUCCUCAAUGGUGCAGCCAUGUACAACAGCAAUAUGACCUACAGAUAGUUUAAGUCACUAUCCAUAAAACCAAGACAACUGAUGCUAAGGUCGACUUGAAUGCUUACCAACAGUGACAUUGUUCCCUAUAAUGGUGGGUAGCACCUUUUGACUUAUAUUUGAUUUGGCCACAUGAACAAGGGAGUUGUCUUGUAUAUUGGUACCAGAUCCAACACUGAUGCUGUUAACGUCACCUGUAAACAGAAAAGGAAUGUAAAAAUUUGAAAACUGACAAUAUAGCAAGCAAAGAAAGAUAAUUUCUUGCCGACUUAUAAUCACUGUACACAAAAUGAUGCUGAAGUUGUUGGGAUUAUCAUUAAGUCUUGGAAAUGAUUAAGAAACACACCUCCAAUCCAACCCACAGACAAUCAUAUUCAUGAUAUUUGAAAGGGAAACAAGGAAGGAGAAGCCCAUAUCAAGAAAUGGUUCAUCUACGAGAAUUUAAAAAUUUUUCCAGCAGGUUGGUUUGGGACGUGAACACCCCUUACACACCUCACUUUUUGCUGAUUGUUUACAUGAUCAGAGAACAUGGAUAUAUCUAACACACUCUACAUAUACGUGUAAGACAGGCUUUUGGGGUCCUUACGUGCAAUUUGAAAUGAAAAUAUAUAACUGCUACUUCAUGCAUUAUUCAUAGUUCCUUUUACUAUCUGAAUUGACUUGUAGAAUUUACAGAAAUAAUAUAUUGGGGGGAAGGGGAAGGAGGAGAAGAGAUGUGCUCCAAAUAAAUAAUUUAUGAUUCCAGCAAAAAGGGCUUUUUACCAAAUUCUAGUGUGCAGGGUUAGAAUUGUUAGAACCAUCUCAGCUUGCAUCUUGGACCAAAGACAAACAAAAAGAAAUACCAGCAGGAUAUAGUCCUUUUUGGGGGGGGAUAAGGAGGGUAUGCUCAUCCACAGAAAAUACUAGGUUCCACUGGUGAUUCUGGAGUGAAACUGUUCAACUUCCAACAAGCCCCUAAUAUAGUUAUGAACAUUGAUUUGUUGAUCAAU
rnacentral:lncRNA from 1 species